rnacentral:rRNA from 1 species
UGGGGAAUAUUGGACAAUGGGCGCAAGCCUGAUCCAGCCAUGCCGCGUGAGUGAUGAAGGCCCUAGGGUUGUAAAGCUCUUUCACCGGAGAAGAUAAUGACGGUAUCCGGAGAAGAAGCCCCGGCUAACUUCGUGCCAGCAGCCGCGGUAAUACGAAGGGGGCUAGCGUUGUUCGGAUUUACUGGGCGUAAAGCGCACGUAGGCGGAUUUUUAAGUCAGUGGUGAAAUCCCGGGGCUCAACCCCGGAACUGCCUCUGAUACUGGGUAUCUUGAGUCCGGAAGAGGUGAGUGGAAUUCCGAGUGUAGAGGUGAAAUUCCUAGAUAUUCGGAGGAACACCAGUGGCGAAGGCGGCUCACUGGUCCGGUACUGACGCUGAGGUGCGAAAGCGUGGGGAGCAAACA